GUUCACCAUCAGAUCAAGGACUGCCGUGAAGGGGUGAACCACAACUCUUGUUCCGGAAUAUGGUUUCAUUCGUAGAGAUUUGCUGCAUUUUCACUUUCGUUCUUCCGGAGGUUAUCAAAAAGGUGAAGCCUGGAAAUGGUGAAUCAGCAAACUAAGCUACUCAUGGAAUCUGGUGGACAUCUGAUAUUAAGCAAGAGGGAUGCUCAAGAGGAAUCACAGGUUCUGGUGGAUGAAGCGCUUAGAAGGAAUUGCAAAUCCAUUCCCUCAUGCAUCAUCAUUAGCUUUCACUAACUUCUUUGUUAAACUUUGUCAGACGUAGUCAAGAACAUUCUAUCAGAC